CAUUAAGAAGCUAUGAAUCAGCACCAGCCUUUUAAGCUGGAGAAAGAGGAACGCAUACCCCUCCUUAAUGA
rnacentral:tRNA from 1 species